GCUCCGGGGCGUGCCGCCGCCGCCGUCGCUGCCGCCUCCGCUACCGCUAGUGGAAGAAGAUGGCGGAAGGCGGAGCGGCGGACCUGGACACCCAGCGUU
ensembl:miRNA